ensembl:rRNA 5S_rRNA 5S ribosomal RNA
GUCUACGGCCAUACCACCCUGAAGACACCCAAUCUCGUCUGAUCUCGGAAGCUAGUCUGAUCUCGGAAGCUAAGCAGGGUCGGGCCUGGUUAGUACUUGGAUGGGAGAAAUCAAGAGUGGUGAAAC